rnacentral:rRNA from 1 species
UACGGGGGGGGCAAGCGUUGUUCGGAAUUACUGGGCGUAAAGGGCUCGUAGGCGGCCAACUAAGUCGGAUGUGAAAUCCCCAGGCUUAACCUGGGAACUGCAUCCGAUACUGGAUGGCUUGAAUCCGGGAGAGGGAUGCAGAAUUCCAGGUGUAGCGGUGAAAUGCGUAGAUAUCUGGAGGAAUACCGGUGGCGAAGGCGGCAUCCUGGACCGGCACUGACACUGAGAGACGAAAGCUAGGGGAGCGAAUGGG